GUUGAAACACCGGCUCCCGUAUGAUCACCUAAAUUAAGCAUUAUCGGGUCUGAUCUGUACCAAGAUGGAUGCCUGCUUAGGAAUACCAGAUGCUGAA